AAACUGCCUCAUUGGGCUAAGAUUACUCUCGGGGACCGGUCUCUGGAGGUGAGAGACCGGUUCCCCUGGCUGGGUGUAGCGGGGUUGCGUGAUGCAACCGGUCCCUGGCAGGGAGGGACCGGUUCCCGAACGUGGUCCCAGCGAGAAUUGCCAAAAAUUGGCUAAGUCCUGAAAAUCGAGCUCUCGGGGACCGGUCUCUCAGGCGAAGACCGGUCUCCCGAGGACCGGUUUCCCGGGGAGAGACCGGUUCCCGAACGCGUGCGCCCGAGAGAAGCUCUCGGGGACCGGUCCCAAGUCGGGGAGACCGGUCGCUCCGCGCGAAAACUGCCCAGUGAGGGCAGUGCACAGGAGUGAAAGUUGAGGGGCUUUUAUGCAAAAUGGCCUUUAUUUGAGUGGGCUGAGCCCUCUCUCUCCCUCACACUCUCUCAUUUCACUCUCUCUCACUCUCAUUUCUCUCUUGCUCUCUCUCUCUCUCUAGAAAGGAAAGAAGGAGAAGAAGAACAAGAAGGAGAGGAAGGAAAAGAAGAGGAAGAUAAGGAAGGAGAAGAAGAAGGAGAUCAAGAGGAAGGCUUUGAGCACCUCCAUCUCCCUCUCCUCUUCCCAUUGGUGUAGCUCUUGAGGUAAGCUACUAAACCCUAGCUUCUAGAACUUAGGGUUUUUGGGUUUUAUGCCUUGGAAUGGGUCAAAUGGACCCUAAGCAAGCUUCUAAAUAGAUCAAUCCCAAGAAUCUAG
rnacentral:lncRNA from 1 species